ACCAAAGACCCCAGUAACCAAAAAGACAAUCGAGCCCUCACCACCGUCGCCAUGCUCUCUGCAGUCUCGUCUUCCCUCCUUAUCUUCCACAAGCCCUUCACUCGCGCUCUUCGACUUCCCCUCCCCAAACCCCCUCUCACCCCAAACCCUAGACCCCUCUCUUUACUCUCCCCGGCCGCUUCUUCUCUCACCCCCAAUGCCACCGGUGGCGGUCGCAUCGGGGCUCUAUCUCCUGCGCCGGCCACCGAUGACCUCCAGAAGGUCGACGUUAACCCUCCCAAGGGCACCAGGGACUUCCCGCCAGAAGAUAUGCGCCUCCGCAACUGGCUCUUCUGCAAUUUCAAAGAGGUCUCGCGGCUGUUCGGCUUCGAAGAGGUCGACUUUCCGGUUCUCGAGACUGAGGCGCUGUUUAUCAGAAAAGCAGGGGAGGAGAUUCGUGACCAGCUGUAUUGCUUCGAAGAUCGAGGCAAUCGUCGCGUCGCGUUGAGGCCGGAGCUCACUCCUUCUUUGGCCAGGCUGGUGAUACAGAAAGGAAAAUCUCUGUCCCUGCCAUUGAAAUGGUUUGCCGUUGGGCAGUGUUGGCGGUACGAGAGGAUGACAAGGGGGCGGCGUCGGGAGCAUUACCAGUGGAAUAUGGAUAUUAUUGGUGUACCUGAGGUUACGGCUGAAGCAGAACUUAUUUCUUCAAUUGUCACUUUCCUCAAGCGAUUAGGAAUUACGGCAUCAGAUGUUGGAUUUAAGGUUUCAAGUCGUAAGGUUUUACAAGAAGUACUGAGGCGCUAUUCCAUACCCGAAUCUUUAUUUGGCAAAGUAUGCAUCAUCAUAGACAAGAUAGAGAAGAUUCCAGUGGAUGAUAUAAAAAAUGAGUUGAAAUCUGCUGGUGUAUCAGAAGAGGCUAUUGAACAGUUAUUGCAAAUUCUUUCCAUAAAGUCAUUGACAAAGCUGGAAGAGGUUCUUGGAGAUGCUGGGGAAGCAGUUGCUGAUUUGAAACAACUAUUUUCUCUUUCUGACAAAUUUGGUUAUUCUGAAUGGAUCCAGUUUGAUGCUUCUAUUGUUCGUGGCCUUGCCUACUACACUGGUAUUGUUUUCGAGGGUUUUGAUAGAGGAGGAAAGUUACGAGCCAUUUGUGGUGGUGGGCGAUAUGACCGCUUGCUUUCUACUUUUGGUGGUGAUGACAUUCCGGCUUGUGGAUUUGGAUUUGGUGAUGCUGUCAUAGUGGAAUUGCUUAAGGAGAAGGGCCUUCUGCCGGAACUCAGCCUGCAAGUAGAGAACAUUGUGUGUGCUCUUGAUCCUGGACUUAAAGAAGCAGCUGCAACAGUUGCCACCAUACUCAGGGGGAAAGGUCAAAGUGUUGAUUUAGUCUUGGAGAACAAACCGCUUAAAUGGGUAUUCAAGCGUGCAGCACGGAUAAAUGCUAAUAGGUUGAUAUUGGUGGGAGAUUCAGAGUGGCAGAGGGGUAUGGUGAGUGUGAAAGUCCUUUCUUCUGGUGAACAACAUGAGAUCAAACUUGAUGAACUAGAGUGAUAAGAAGUUUGGUUAUUCGGAGGUUGUAUUGUUUACUUUUAUCUUUGUAGAUUGUGUUUUGAAUGGUAAUGGUUGCUCGGAGUAGAAGAAGAAUGCGACCCAGUGUGUCUUCCUGACGAAGAACGUGCAGAUGACUUGAAGUCUUUCAGAUAAUGCUCUGCCGAAUCGUCAAGGUACUGUGAUCUUUCCUUUCAGAAAGUCGAUUUUCUAUAUUCAGUCAUUUCUUUUUAAUUCAAACUGGUCUUUGUUAGCCGAUUUAGAGCAAUUUGAAAAUACUCAUACCCUAGAGAAUGACUUCUUUGGGUCAUUUACCUGAAGAGAUUUGCUUGGAUAUAGGAUAGUGUGGGAGGAAGUUUUUAAUUUUUGGGUCUGGAUUGUUGGAGGAAUUGGUAAGUUUAGAUCCAGAAAAGAUUAUUUCAGGUGGCAAAAUUAUUAGGUUAGACCAUGUGCUCACUGCUAAGUUUCUCACAAAGACAAAUCUCCAAACCCAUAGGCUAGCACUGAGUGCAAGAUCCAUAUCUUCCACCGUGGUUCGGCCUUUGCAUCCCGCAUUGUCAUUUAAGGGUUUUCUCCAUGAACCUGCUGUUGCAGUAUGUAAGGUCAACCAGUAAAUUAUGUUGUCCAAAGUAGUUGUCUCUUCGUUACUGCUGCAUCUUAUCUGUUAAGGAACACCGAAUAUGUUUGCAAUUUUACAAUCCUAGUUACGGUGGUAUUGCUAUUGAGAAUUUGGGUUUUACAUGAAAUUUUUUUAAGGUAGUAGAAGGGGAAACGUCGAGCAGUUAAGAUGAUAAUUUGAAGUUACAGAGGGUAAGUGAGGAUAUUGCUGUUGACCAUAUGUUGUGCCCAAAUCAGACUGCUGGACAUAAGUACAGUAAAAUAAAACAUUGUUUUCUGAGGUCUUGUAAAUGUUAUAACGUGCACCGAAAGUAGAUACAAACGUUAACUUCUGACAGAUUUUAUGUAUCGUUGGUUUCCUGUGAACGAUCCAUUGUUUAAAGUUGUCAUCGACACAUCAGAAAUAUAAAGUAUGAUCCCCUUGCAUUGAUAUGAUAGCAUGAUUCUGGAGUGUUUUUUUGGUUUUUUUCGUGUGAAUAUGCAGAAAAUUUUUCUGUAUGAAACACAUAAAUUUGAUGAACCUGUGCUUUGCCAGUUGUAUUUGAGCAUUUUUGGGUGUCAUCAGUUGUAUAUGAUCAUGUUGAUCGCUCUCAUCACAUGACACGACUCACAUGAUAAGAGAUAGUCCAAUGAUUGUAUAUAAGUUCAUAACCGGUGAUAGGGCAUGUUUUUUUUAUUUUGAUUUGCAGCCUAUAAAGGAAAUCCGGAGUGGCACUAAUCUCAAGCGGCUUGAGUCAAGCCCCCACAUGGGUGUUUUGAAUUUGGCCAAAUCAGAUAAAUGGUCCUCGUGGUGAUACGGCAUUCGGAAGAUAGCCCUUGUGGUGAAAAAAAUUAGGAAUUAAACUAUUGUGAGGAAAACUGUUAGGAAAUAAGCCCCAAAAUAAAAUUUCUGUCAAGUCACAGUCAAAAGGCUGCACGUGAGGCUGAUAGGUCUAGUUCUUAAUUUUUUCACCACAAAGGUUAUCUUCUGAAUAUCCAAUUACCACGAAGACCGAUUAUUCGAUUUAGCCUUGCAAUUAUAUCUAAAUCUGCAUCAACAUCCAAAUUUGACACAGCAAGCAGCAAGCACCGCGCUCAUAAGCAACCACGUCUCCAAUCUCAACGCCAUUCUUGUUUGAAGUUUUGAUCGGCCCAGAACAUUUUGGUGCUUUCUAUUUAUGGCCCUCCAUGCAUCAUUAUCCUCGAUAUUUAUGUGCUUUCUAUUUAUGGCCCUAAACCCUUGUAUUUUUUUCCCUACUUUCUUCUGCUGUUUUUGGUCGUUUUCGCCUUUGUUUUCUUUUGUCCUGGCAGUCUCAAUCCGGGCAGAUCUGUCACUACUGCCGCUGUGACCACGUCCGAUGGCUCAGUUCUUUGCUUUUGUGGCAUUUUCCUAGCUAGAUGCCCUAGUUUUGUGGCAUUUUACAACUCCCCCUCACGGGCCAAACGUUUGUUUGCAUACAAUGUUACUCAAAUGUGUCUGGGGAAACUGGUUGAGAUGAUGGAUUUAUGAAUCUUAGUUAUUC